rnacentral:lncRNA from 1 species
UUGGGCUGACCACUGGGUUGGGUGAGCUAAUGCAGAUUACUACAACUGGGCCAAAGCAGGUCAAAUGCAUUUAAGCAGGGUCGAUUCAGAAGCAAAGUGGGUCUUAAAUGGAUCAAAGGAAUCCAGUUCCUUGGUGCCUAAAAUUGUGCCAUUUUUAGCUUACCAUGAAAUACCUAUUUUCAGCCUUAUUUUUCAUUUUUACCCAUUAACUUUCUCUCUCCAGAAGGCAUUCUCUCUUUUUUCUUUUGGCGAUAUAAAUUCUGGCAUCUAAGAAACCUAGAACCAGGUGAAAUCGUCAUUACCGUUGCAUCUUUCACUAGUCUGCUGUGUGCCACUGUAAGUCAUUAUUUUUGCCAAAAGCCCAAAACCUUGGUUGAUUUGUUCCCUUAUUCCUUGCUUAAACUUUUCUAAAACUCCUUAAUAAUCCAUUAAUCUAAUCCCAAACUUGUUUCUGCUAUAUUCUAGAAAUAGCUUCAGUCACCGCCCAAAAUCACCUAAAAUCAUCCUCUUUCUACUAAAAAAAUAUACCUACAAUUCCAUGAUCCACUUGCUGCCAAAUAGGAUGGAGAAUGAAACUUGGUUGAUUUGGUUGUUUUUCUGGGUGUUGUCGUGUUUUUGGUUAAUAAUCUAUGGAUGGUUUUAGUUUUGGGUUUAAUGGGUUGGUGCCAGUUUUGCUCUUUUAUUUUUGAUUACUAUAUAAUUUUGAUCCUUUUGACUUUUAAUGAAUUUGUAUGCUAUUUUGUUCUCUGUUUGUUGAUUUCCUCGACUGCCUCUAUUCACUGCUAGGGAUUACUUGAUCAAAAUUUGCCUCUUCUUUGUUGAUUACUCUGUCUUUCUCUAGUUAUUGUGAGCUUUUUUUUUUAAUCUCUUCUCUAGGUUGACGUAGAAUCGUGUACUUCUGUACAGGAUUCGAGAGAUUACUUUUUUAUUUGCUUGUGCUUCAAUUGUUUGCCAGUUGUGUUUGCUCUCAAUUUUUGCAGCUGAUUAGUAUCUAAUUAAGGCUUGCAGUUUGCCCGAACUUUUAUUUGAUACUUCUAGGUUACUGACUAAUUCUGAAACCUGUUUCCUUGACCAAGAAUUCCUUGGCUUUGCUUAGGACCACUUAUUGUUCUAGAAAUUGGUUGGAAAUUAUUGAUUGCUAUGUGUUGUGGUGAUUGCUUCUUGGUUUAUGUUAUGUUAACAGGAGAGGAAACAAAAGAAGUUUGAUGGUGUUCUAUUUUGACGAUGAUGAUGAUUAGGUGCUGAAUGUAGAGGCUUAGUAUGUGUUGGUAAUUUGGCUGGUGGAUGGCCUCCCUUUUUACAAUUGAAAUUGGUUUCUGUUUUAUAGAGAUUAAAUCUUUUUAAUUUUGAAAAUUUUCACAUAAUUUGGGAUUUCAUUCUCGUGAAUUAAUUGGUGAAAUUUUACAUGAAUUAAGCCCAAAAAAUCCAUCAAUCUAUCAAGUCAAAGAUUGAAUCCCUAAAUCCUUCGCCCCUUUUAUUUUUUUUGAUUUUUUUUAACCUUUUGGUCUUUUUGAAAAAAUAAAAAAUAAAAAAAAUAAAAUAAACAAAAUGGUAUAAUAUAAUAUAAUAUAAUAUUAAAUAAUAUUAAAUCAAAAAUAUAAUAAAAUAAAACUUUCUUAUUGAUCCCGAAACUUUUCAAUCGGGCCCAAUUAAUGAUCGAUAAUUCGUUUUUCAUUCUGAAAAAAUUCGAGCAAAAUAGGAUAUCUACAAUAUUCAUUUAGUUGAAAAUUAUAUGUAUUUUCUUGAAUGACUAAAGUAUGAUAUGAAAUGUAAGUAUGAAUAUAGUGAAACUUGAAAAUAAUUCUUAAGUAGGUUUUUUCUUUGGAUAUGAUUUUUAUACAUAUAUCUUUAUUUUCUUUAUAUGAAAUGCUAUGAUUUUUGUGAAGGUUUAUGAAUUAUGGAUUUGCAUGAAAUUUAAGAUUUUAAUAAGUGCUCUAGAAUUCACUUACUCAAACUUUGAAGUGAAAUCAUAUAUUAUAUUUAACUUAAGAGAUGUUCUAGAUAGUUUUUUGGAUCAUUUGAGCCUUUUUCAAGUCCACCUUGUGACAAUACAUCCUUAGUACCAUUUUUUUAAACUUAUUUACUAGUCAUUUUCUUUGUUUAUUUAGCGACAUUAUAAGCCUAAUAUGCCUUUUCUUUUAUUAUUAUUAUUACCUUUUCUUUUGUUAUCCUAAUCUAUUAUACUUAUUUGUGUAUCAUGGACAUAUUCUUAUAUUUGAGAGGAAGAGAAAUGCAAGGAAAAAAAGAAAAAGACAAAAGCAAGACAAAGUCGAAUAAAGCAAAAAAUGGCUAUCAUUAAAAAAAAAUUCACAAAUACAAAGUAAUAAAAUAUGCCUCACAAGUUAAGUUUCCAAAAAGAGCUCAUAAUUGUUCAAAGUCCAAGAAGUAAAGAAAAAGUAAGCUUAGAGUUUUGAGCUUAAAAAUUUAUUUUUCAUACAUUGACCCAAGCCUUACAUUACAAACCUAAAAGACGUUUUAAUCUUAAGUUGUAUAUGUAGUUGAAUAUGUAAAUCUAACAUUAGUGGAGAGAGAUGAGGAAAAUAGACAUAUAAAGCCUAUUUUAUUUUUAAAUUGAAAUGUGAUAAAGUGUUCCGUAUUCUAUUUACUUAAGUUAUAUGCAUAAUUUAAAGAUGGAGUAGAUUUGUAUGAAUGAAUAGCAUAAGAUAUUGAAAGCUUGCUUUUAGAAGAUAUUCUUGUGACUCUAUAUUCAUUCUUAAUUUUGUAUUAUGCAAUAUUACAUGUUAAGAGUUUUGUAUAAUUUUUGACUUUGAGGAUGCUUAUAAUAUUUUUUAGUUUUGUUGAUUUGAGAUUUGUUUAAGGACAAACAAAGAUUUAAGUAUGAGAGUGUGAUAGCACCAAAAUAUAUAGAGAUUUUAAAUGUUAAAAUAGUUCUAAAAUUUAAAUUUUUGGAUGAUUUGUGAUGCUUUUCAUGUUAUUUUCAUGAUUUAAAAAUUUUCAAGCUCAAGAUUUAUUUUCAUGCAAGCCAUAAUGUAAUCAUGCAAGGCUCACAUUCGGCCCAACCAUAUAAGCUCUAUUACCACCCAUAUUGAUCCAUAUUCAAACAUGCACAAGCCAUUUAAACCAAAAUCCAUUUAGCCAAGAUGGAACUUAAAGAUAAUCAAGCUUCCUUGCUUAGCCAAGAAGAGAAUGCAUUGCACAAGAACUUUACAAACUCCACUACAUUCGACCAAGAUGAAGUUGAAACUUACUAUGAAGGUUGUUGAUUACCUUUGAAGAACUUCACUUAGAGUAAGAUUUUAUCCAUUCAAAAUUCAAAAAUUGGAUAAAAUUUCAAGUCCUUUAAAACUAUAAGCCUUAGCCAAAUCUAAUGGAGGAAAUUAUCCAAGAUUUGAUUAAGAUGCAAGCAAAGGCCAAGAUUGAUCCACCAAGACUCCAUUUGACCAUGAAUACUUAAACAUGGAGAGUCCCAUUCGACCUUUAAAAUGUAGAAGAUCAAGAUAAAGCUCAUCCAAUUGUAUUUGAAUUAAAAUCAAACACCUUUGUAGUUUAUCCCUCUUGGUCGAACCAACGCCUAUAAAUAGACAAGUCCAUUCACUUGUUUCACCAUCUUUCUCCUCACUUCUUUUUUUUUUUUUGGUUUUUAAAAUUUUUUAGUUUUUUUAUUUCCUUUAGUUAAGGUAUUAGCUUAGGAGAUGGGUUUGCCAAUUACCAAGUUCUUGUUCUUUAAAUCUUUUUUAAUUAAGAAGUAUUUUCAUUUAAAGAUUUUUUUUCUUGUUUUCUUGUUUACAAAAUCUUGUUUCUUGUUUUCUUUAAUUUCAGCACAAGCAAUCUUUAAUUUUCAAGAUCCAAGUUUUUUUAUUUGCUUUGUAAGAUUUAGCCAUCACCUUUUUUCUUUCAUGUUCUUUAAGUUGUUUUCAUGCAAUCUGCAUUUUCUUUACAAGCAUUCGGCUAUUACUCCAUUUUUAUUUACUUUGCAGUCUUUUAAUUCUUUUCUUUAGGAUUAGUUGUUGGUAUUAAUUUUUACUUCCCAAAUAAUAGUUGGUGAAGUUUAGAUUCCUGCCAUUUAUCAACUUUAAUCUUUACUUUGAUCCUGUUUAUUUAAAUCUUGUAACCUUAAAAUCUUGAAUAUUUAUUUGUUUAGAUAUAGGAUCUUAUCCUUUAGCCUUUGGUACUUAUAAACUAUCUAACAUCAUUUUUUAUAAUCCUUGAAGAGAUAAUAUUUGAAAUAUUUCACUUUAUUAUUUGAUCUGUGCGCUUGCAGACUGUAUACAAAAAGUAACAAAUCAAGUGAUCUUAAAUUUAAUAUUUAAAAUAAUUCUUUUAUUUUAUUUAGUUUUUUUUUUUUUUGCAAAAUCCUUUUAAUACAUUUUAUUUAGUUAGGAAUAAAAUGAAAAUUUUUAGUGUUGAAAUUUUUUUUUCUAAAUUUUUUAAUAUUUAGGUGAAAUUUUAAAAAAUAUUUUUAUACUUGAAAUUCUCAUAAUAACCUUUAAAAACUGGCAUAAUAUUCUUUUAUAAAAAAUACCUUCUAAUAUCUAAGUAGGGUUUCAAAAAUAUAAGAUGGAUUUAAAUUGGUAAUUUUGUAUUUUUUAAUUAGUAUAUAUUUUUUUGACAAUAAUACAAUGCAAGUGAUAUAACAUAAAGUAAAUGGAUGAUGCAAAUACAAAUUAAAAAAUACAAAUUUAUCGAUUUAAAUCCAUCUUAUAUUUCUUUAACUUUAUCUCUUUUUAUUUUUUCAUCAUUAUUUUAAAAAACAUUUAGUGAUAAAAUUAUUUAUUUAUUUAUUUUUAUGUUAGAAAAAUUUUUUAAUCCUGCAAUAUCUAAGUGAAAUUUAAGAAAAUUAAUCAUUCACUUAAAAAAUUCUAAUAAUUAAUUUUUGGUAAAAAUGAAAAUGAUAUUUCUUAAUAAAAAUAUGUUUUAAAUUCUCUCCAAUAUUUAAGUUAGGAUUCCAAAAUCAUUUUUUUUUUUGAAAUACUAUUCUAUUUGUUCUUAAAAGAAAUUUUUUGAAAUUAUUAUUUUACUAUUUCACAUUUACUAUUAAUGUAUAAAAUGCAUAUAUAAAAAUAUGAGCAUAAAUUAAAUAAUGCAUGUAAUUAUAUUUCUUUUCUAAAUAGAUUUUAUUUAGGAUGAAAAUUAUAGGUUUUGUAUUUGAAAUAUUUUUGUUUGUUUAUUUUUUAACUUCUUAUUAUCUAUGUAGAAUUAUAAAACAUUGAUUUUUUCACUUAAGAGAUUCACAUAAAUAUUUUUAAAAUUAAGAUAAUAUUUCUUUGUAAAAAUAAUUAUUUGAAUCCUCUCCAAUAUUUAGGUAAAAUUUUUUAAAAUUAUAUUUACUUAAAAAUAUUACCUUAUGCUCUUAUUUUUAAAACCCCUUUUUUAAAAGAUUAUCUUUUAAUAAAAAAAUUAUUAACCGUCACUUUUUAUUCAAAUUUCCUUUAAUUUUAUCAAUCAUCCACAAGCAAAUUAUUUUUCAGAAAUAUAUAUAUAUAUAUAAAUGCAUUUUAUUUAUUAUUACAAUUAUUUUUUUUUACAAUUCCUAAAGCAACAUUAAAAAACCAAAAAAAAAAUUAAGAACAUAAUAAAAUAAAUAAAUAAAAGAUAAGGAAAUAUCCCCAAAUGAAGCUUUUGGGCUGUGAACCCAAUGAAAUCUACCCAAAAAAAUCAUGUAGUCCAAUCUUCAAGGGUUUGGGACUGACUAGGCCCAAACUACAGCGGCCCACCUCUUGUCCAUCAGCCCCGAGUAGUAUCAGCUAGGAACCGGUUAUCGGUAUGAUUGGCUAUGGGUCACUGGGUCAUAGGUCGUGGGUUAACUGUUUCCAGGCGAGCGGGCCGUGUGCGCGGGUUUAGGAUUCAGGUGCAGUUUCACGCGGGUUAGCCCCUUUUUUUGUUGACUAUAAAACACAAAAGGUUUUUUUUUUUUAUCCUCUUCGAAAAAAAAAAAAAAUCCCAAAACUCUCUAAAAAAAUCGAAAGGAACACUGGCCAUCCUCAAACCCAGAUUCCGGCCUGCACCACCGUCUCUGCUGCCGUCAGCCACCACUCUUUGACGCCAGCUUGAGCCCAAAAAAGCUUUUUUGAUUCCUUUUUCCUUCCUCUCUUCACUUUUCCAGUUGGUUUUGCGUAAAAAUCCCUAGUUUUUCCCUAUAUCUAGGCUAAAAGCCCUCGCUUCAACACCAUAAAAGACCCCUCUCCGUUGCACCAAAUCUUACCAUUUUCGACUAUGUUAUUCCUCAAGCCAAGAUCUUCCUCUUUUUCAAAAAUGGCUUCCCGAAUCUCUUUAAAACUCCCUAUACUGAAAAUCCAAAUCCCCCUUUUCCUUUUUUUUUUUUUUUUUUCUUUUUUGUCUUUACUGCUGCUGUUGGCGUUGUUGUUCCCCACUCCAUGGGAUGCAUUUUUUUGGUUGCUUGUUGCGGUUCACUAAUUUUUAAAAAUUUUUGGUUCGGGUGGGACUUUUUGGGGCUUGCUGAUAUGUUUUAGGCUUUGUGGUGGUUUUUUGGUCAUUGAAGAUGAUGAUGGUUGGUUGUGGUUUAGAUGGAGGAAUUGGGUUUGGAAGGGCAACGUAGGAGCCUGAACUUUUGCUUAAUGAAAUUCAGUGGUGAUAUUCAGUGGUAAGGGGCAGUAGAGGCUGCGGGUAUAUGGUCAUUGAAGGUGAAGGUGGCAUUUGUAGAAGUAGAGCAAGUAUCGAGAUUUCUUGCUUCUGAAUUGUUUGCUGUGUUUUCGGCUGUGAUGGUGGUUGUAGGUUGUUAAUGGGUGGUUUGGCUAUUGGUGGUGACUGUGAUUCGGUGGUAGUGGUGGUGGCAGUGGGUUAGGCUACAGAGUCUUUUUGGACUUUUGUUGGGUUUUUGUUUUCUGUCUCCCCUCCCCUGUUGUGAAAAAAGUUCGGUUCUUGUAGCACCGCAUUUCAUACAAGACAUGAUAAUUGAAUUCUUUGCUGCGCUGCUGCAAGAUGAUGUUGCAUUUAGGGCUUUGUAGCUUGCUGAAUUUGGGAGAAGGUGAAGGUGGGGCUUUGAGGGAUGGAGCUGCUGACUUUUGGGAUGUCUUUAAUCAGUUAGUGUUACGAGUUAAUGGGGUAAAAUGAAGGGGAAAAUUGAAGAGCUGUAAAUGAUUAACUGUUUGGGGGAAGAGAAAAGGGGAGAUGAGAAAGUGAGGGGAAGGCUGUUGCCAUGGCAGCCGACCCGCUCACAUUUCUUUUGAAUUUUUUGAAUUUUUCGUUUUUUUUUUUUAAUAUUUCAAUUAAUUAAAUUAAUUAAUCCUAAUCAUAUAAAUCUAUAAAACUCCAAUAUUUUGCAAAAAAAUUCAAGUCUUUUACACAUAUAUUCCAAAUUUAUAUAUUCUAACUUUAUUACAUAAAACACAAUAAACGUUUGGUUUCCUAAUGUUUAUAUGAAUUCUUGACUUUUGAUUUUUUUUUAUUUAUAUUUUUUAAAAUCAUUAUUUAUUAAAAUUUAUUAAAACACUUAGCUGACUAAUUUUAAAUUUUUUUUUUAUGAUUUAUGGUUUUUCAACUUUUUUUAAGGAAGAAACUAUAGUUUUUCAAUUUUUUUUUUUUUUAAGGAUGAAUAGCUAUAUAAGUGUAUUUUAUAUCUGUAUUAAAUUUUAUAUUCCUAAUCAUGAGGUUUAUAUUUUAUUGUGUUUGUAUUUUAUAAUUUUUUAUUUUUUAAUUGUGGUUUAUGAUUUUUUUAUUUGACAUUUCAAGGUUUUUUUAAUCUAUUGAUGUACAUUUUAGUGUUUGUAUUUUUAUUAUUUUUAAUUUUUUUGUACUGAUCGUAUUUUUUUAUUUCAAGUUUGCCUUUUAGCCAAUUAAAUUUUAUCAUGAUUGCUAAAUUGACAUUUGAAAGAAAUGAGAAUGUUCAAAUUUUGUGUUUGUGGAUUGUGGGGGAUAUUUAUAAUUAUAAGACUAAAUAAUGUGUUAGUAUCAACUUUUUUGUUAUGAUUGCAAGUAAAUAUCAUUUUGAUCAUUUCUUUUUUUUUUUUAAUUUAUGUUUUUGGCUACUUAUAAAAUAUAUGUAACCUCUUUAAUUUUUAGUAUUAGUUACUUUCAUCUUUUAAUAAUUUUUUAUUCUAAAAGUUAAAGGUAUAAUUUCUAUUGUCUAAUCUCUUAUUUAUUGUUUUUUGUAAGAAAAAAGUUAUUAAUAGCAUGUUCAUUUACUUUGGAUGAAUUUGUUUAAAAGGUUAAAAUUUUUUAUAUUAUUUCUUAGUUUCUUAUAAAAUUCAUACUAUAUUAUUUUAUAUUAAUUUUUAAGUUGUUAUAUUCAAUAAAUUUUCAUAUGAAUUACAUUAGAUAAGUAAAUAUAUACAUUAAUUUAAUUGGAAAUAAAAAAAAAUAUAGUUUUUUUCACAUAUUAUUUUACAAGUUCUAUGUUGAAACUAUUGUUUGAUUUUAUGUUAGUUAGCCUUUCUUAUUUUUCACAAUGUAGUUAUCUUAUUUUUGGUUUUUUUUUUUUAUGUUAAUUGUUAGAUUUCAGGUAGUUUUAAUCAAUUUUAUGUAAGUAACAUUGUUAGAUUUCAC